UUUUUUUUCUCGUUUUGUUUUUUUUUUUUAUUUUAUUUUUGUUGAAAGUUCUUUUUCUCUUCUUUCUGAUAAACUGUAACUUUCUCAAAAAAAAAAAAACUUUCUCAUAUAGGUUUUCAAAAGCGUUUUCUACUCUCUUUUUUUCUGUUCUGUUUCCAGAGCAACACGAGAAAAACAAAACUUGAUUUUUGGGGGUUUGACUUUUUUUCAGAAGAAUCAGAAAAAUGAUAUUGUUGUGAGUUAUCUCUAUAGAAUUGGAGGAGGCAAGGCGUACUUCCAUGGAGAUGGAAGACAUAUGUAAUGCGGUUGUCGUGAGCAAGAGGAGACGUGUCGAGCUCGACCCGUCGUCACCGGUCUCGAGCUUGCCCCCGUCACCACCGGUCUCGAGCUUGCCCCGUCACCACCGGUCUCGAAUUCGUCCCCGUCGUCAUCGCUAUGGCUGGUGCUGGGGAUGGAGAUAGAACAGAGGAAGACAUCGAGAAGAGAGGCAUAGGAAGAAGGAGGAGGCGGCAGCAAAGAGAUUAGGUUUAGGGUUAAUUAGAUUUUGGUUAAUUAGGUUUAGGUUAAUUAUGUUUUGGUUAAUUAGAUUUUGGUUUAAUGUUUUUAAUUAUGUUUCUUCGUGAUUUGAAGUACUUCAAAAAUACCGAGUUUGUUUACAGAUAUCCAACAUUUCUAAUC